UACAGAGGUCUCAAGCGUUGUUCGGAUUCAUUGGGCGUAAAGGGUGCGUAGGCGGCGCGGUCAGUCGGGUGUGAAAUCUCGGAGCUUAACUUCGAAACUGCAUUCGAUACUGCCGUGCUUGAGGACUGGAGAGGAGACUGGAAUUUACGGUGUAGCGGUGAAAUGCGUAGAUAUCGUAAGGAAGACCAGUGGCGAAGGCGGGUCUCUGGACAGUUCCUGACGCUGAGGCACGAAGGCCAGGGGAGCAAACGGG
rnacentral:rRNA from 1 species